rnacentral:tRNA from 1 species
AUCUUUCUAGUAUAGUGCGAGUGCAGGUGGCUUCCAACCACGAGGUCUUGGUUAAAAUCCAAGGAAAGAUA